GUCACCGAGCUAUGGGGCGGCCCGUGGCUCAGCUCGCCGUGCGUCUCCUCUUCUUCGGCUCCGUGCUCGUGGGUCGCUUCGCAGCCAUGGCGUGGCGCUCCAGCGGCUCCUCCAACGCCGAGCUCGUGGGGAACCUCAGGAAGAAUGGGGUCAUCAAGUCGGAGCGCGUCUACCAAGUGAUGCUCGCGACAGACCGCAAGCACUACGCCAAACGCAACCCCUACGUGGACACACCUCAGUCCAUAGGCUAUCACGCCACCGUCAGCGCCCCGCACAUGCACGCAUUUGCGCUGGAGCUGCUGCAGGAUCGGCUGCAGGAGGGCGCCUCGGCACUGGACGUGGGCUCCGGCAGCGGCUACCUCACCGCCUGCUUGGCCAGGAUGAUUGGGCCACGCGGAAAGAUCAUUGGGGUGGAUCACAUCCAGGAGCUGGUGAGCGAAGCCAAGGUGAACGUGCAGAGGGAUGACCCCAGCCUUAUCACAUCCGGCCGCAUAAAGCUGAUCCUUGGGGACGGACGGCUCGGCUACCUGGAGGGGGCACCGUACGAUGCCAUCCACGUGGGGGCAGCAGCAGCCAUCGUGCCGCAUGCCCUCCUGGACCAGCUGAAGCCGGGGGGGCGCCUGGUGCUGCCCGUGGGGGCAGCGGGCGGCGACCAGAUGCUGGAGCAGCAUGACAAGUUGGAGGACGGUACCAUCAGGAGCAAGCCGCUCAUGUCCGUCAUGUAUGUGCCGCUCACCGACCGCGACAAGCAGUGGUCCAGGUGCUACUGACUUCCUUGUUGGCCCCUUCCUGUCCCUCCCACAGCCACAGCCUAGACGCAAGCCAUGGCAGCGGGUAGUGGUUGGAAGCAUUCAUGGGGACGAGUUGUGAAGCAGACCCGCAGGGAUGGCCGUGCCGUAGCCAGCGCCAGGCUGUCGGCAACCCGACUGUUUGUGCUUGGAGCCAAAGCGCAGCGACGACGCAAAGGAAGGCGCGCCUCCGGGGUUGUCAGCGUGACGUGUGCUGCCACGCCAGCGUGCUCGCCGCAUGACUGGCGAGCGCAUUGUAUCGGGGACACAUUGCGCACAGCCUUUGCCGUGCACUGUGCUGCACAGUGGCUUCAUGGGGACGGAGAACCCCGUGAGCGAUGCUUUGUUUACGAAUGUAGUGCUUCCAGUGGAAUUGCCGGUGUGAUGGAGUGUAAUAUUUUCAUGUAAAAAUGAAGUGUACAGUUGAGGGCGAGGAAAGGCCCUUUGCAUGGCCUUACGUCAUGUGACGGGUGAGAGGUGUCGGGUCUGGGAGAGAAGCCGUUGUCUGCUUGCUUUCCAAGAUUUUUGUUUUGCUGUAAACCACAGCCGUUCCCGCGUGUUCCCUUGUAGAUUUUGUUGCAGCUCCCAAAAUGCGGCUGUGGUUUAGCUUCCUUUCAUCUGCAUGACUUGCGGUGAGGCUAAGCCUUAUUGUUUGCCGUGCAUCUUCAGCCUCGGCUGUGUUACUUUUCUUCCCGAGCACUUAAGUCGCUGCCUGCCUGCAGCUUCGGAGAACUGUUUCUCUAAUAAACCUGCGACUUCUAAGCAUC